AAGACUAUACUUUCAGGGAUCAUUUCUAUAGUUUCUGACUUGAGAAAUGUGUUUCUAAAGUGUGUGGUCUCGCUAACCACGAUGAUGAAAUUAAAUAUUCCUACCUGAACAUGAAAUUGCCAGAGAAAAAUGAUUCUGUCAUAUGCUCUCUGUUGUUGAUGAUUGUUCUUUGCUUCUUAUUGAAGCUUGGAUGGUAGGAAUAUGUUCCGAGUGGU